GACGUAGGGGGCAAGCGUUGUCCGGAAUUACUGGGCGUAAAGCGCGUGUAGGCGGUUUGGUCAGUCCCGUGUGAAAGCCUCCGGCUCAACUGGAGGAUGUCGCGGGAUACUACCGGACUCGAGGACGGGAGAGGGAAGUGGAAUUCCCGGUGUAGCGGUGAAAUGCGUAGAUAUCGGGAGGAACGCCAGUGGCGAAGGCGGCUUCCUGGCCCGUUCCUGACGCUGAGACGCGAAAGCUGGGGGAGCAAACGGG
rnacentral:rRNA from 1 species